UAUUUAAAAAGUAUUUAAUAUUUUUACAAUUUAGUGCUUACCUAUACUUUUUUACAAUUUAUACCUAAGGAAAAUUCCGUCAUGAUGACUAUAUGGGGUCUCAUAAGUUAAGGCGAAAGCUUCCGGUUUUCGAGCAUCAGUAAAAAUCCAAUCGAUUUGCUUAAGGUGCUUUUUUGGAGAGCUGUUGACUCCAAAAGGUUAUAUCCAGAGAAUCGCACUUUGAGGAUCUGCAAAUAUCAAUAUCUCCUAAUAUUACCAAUUUUGCGAAAUACUCUGCUUAGCAAAGAUGAGUAUUCCGUUUUUCCCAAUACCGUUCAAACGAUUGUUAUUUAUUCUUCUUAUAAUGUCGAAAUCCCUUAUGCAUAACUCUUAAUGUGGAAGAGUCCAGGUUUCAACGAAACAUAAAAAGUUUGCGGAGCAGAUAAUUUUGUCGUUAACAAUAUCUUCGUGAUGAGCACUGACGGUAACCAUGUAUUUAGUUCUUAUCUUGAGCUGAAGAUUAUUUACUGUUCCCUGGGCUUCAGAGGAUUCAUAUUUUGGGCCAUUCUUAAUGUUCUGCCUCUAUUCCUUUCUGUCAUAUUUGCUGAUUUAACAGUAUCUAUGGCAGUUGAAAAGAACUCUUCAGUCUGAAUUUGGGCAAGCUUUAAGGUGUUAUACUGGGCAAACUCAUCAUAAGAGCAGAAUUAAUGAGCUGCGUCAUCGGGGAUCUCGGUAGGUUAAACAAAACUCUUUGCCUAAGAAGCUCUACAUCUGCGUCUGUCAUGUUUGCCUCGGACAUGAUAUUCAAUUUCUGUAAGCUCAAAAAACAUAAAAUUAUUCCAAAGGUUAUCUCCGGCAAUAGUUGUUGCAAUUGUAGGGACUAUUACCAUUUCCUUGGAAUAUCCAACGAUCUUCAACUGGGCUGCGCCGCUUCAGAUCCCCAAACACUAUAAUUGAUUUACCCCCAAAAAUUAAAUCUUGAGUUCUAAAAAGUUAACGAAGUCUUUGAUCUAAAAACCCAAUUAUUUUCGAUCCAACCAUGUAAAUUUCGUCUAUAAUAAUUAGUUCAGUGUCUAUUAACUUACAAUGCAUAGUGUUUAGGGUCUUAAGGGACCUGAUGGUUGAUUAACCUGUAGCGAAGAAGACCUCCAACUCCAAAAGCAGCUUUUCCAGUAGGAGCACAAAGUAAAACCUUUGCAGAAUCAGUUGCCCCAGGAAGCUUAUUUGCCCGCCCAGCACCUCCACCAACAUAUUCAAGAAAUAUUUUUUUUGCUGCAUCAUUAUGAAUUACAUGGGCAUAAUACUGCCGUAGCUUAAAGUAUAGCGACCUAGUAAAGGAGCAAAGGGUGUCACUAGAUACCAAAGGAGGGAGUCUAAUAAGUUGGAGUUCACCUCUGGUUCCUCUGAGCUAUUUACUUCAACUUCAUCUUGGAGUAUAUUUACGUUUUGUCCAACGUUCGGCUUCUCUAUCAAAAUUUUGCAAAUCUUGAAGAACUUUCUCCAAUUCUGAAAAGUUGGGGGGGUUGGCGGAUUUCUGCCCUUGGAGGAUGCUGGUGAUUUUUAUUUCAUAUGAUUUAUUUCACUUUACUUGCACGACUUCACUUUGUGGCUUCGAACUUAGAACUCCUUACUCUACUUAAAUCUAAUGCUAGGAGAGCGGGGGUGGAGACUGUUAACAGACCGAGAGCGAGAUGAGAGUUCAUCUGGACAUAACUGCUCUCGACUGUUAACGAAUAAUUCGGACAGUGGCCCCUCCUUGGCGCGGACAAAUUCCAUAUAAUCAAAAACAUCAUAUUGCUCUUUGUUUGCCUUGAUUAUUUCAAAAUAAUUUCCGAAUGUUCUUUCAUUAAAAUCCCUAUCCUCACUGCUCCACGGGAAGAAAAGCAUUACAUGCUCUCUAAAACAAUCAGAUGGGGAAGAGUUUAUAGUGAAACGAUCUCAUCUAAAAAUUAAUGCAUGCUUUCGUCUUUUCACACUACCAGUCCCAUCUUAAAGUAGGUAACUUUGUUCACCAAUGACGUUUUCAUCGUCUAGUUCCAAGUCGAUCCAUUCAUCAUAAUUUUCGUUGGACCUUUCUGAUCGCGCGUUUGACUUGCCGAAUUUAUACCAAGCCGCAAAUAAUGCAAGACACUUUGACUAUAAUACGUACCGAUCAACUAAGUUUUUCUUAAAGAUAGCAGUUGAGUUGUCAGGAAGCUGAGCUAGUUCCUUAUUAGAUCGUACUAUCCGCACUCUUUUAUCUGGAUGGCAAGUGUCAAUACAAAUAUUUCAUUCGCUAGCCUCUAAAAUGUGUAACCCCAAAAUGUUGUAAGCUGCUUCUUGGGCAGAUAUCUCCGUAGCGUUUAUGACUUUGCUCCCGAGAUGCUGCAAUUUUCUUUUAACAGAAGUAUUUUCAUGGCUUAUUUCGGUCAUUGCUUCGUGAGGGAGUUGCGAUACGCCACGGUUGGAUAUGUUAAUGUAGUUAACUAUAUAGCUGCAACAGUCGAACUCGUCUAGGAUAAAUUGAAUAUCCAUUUUUGCCCUAUGUAAUCCCAAAAUUGCGCCGAAAAAAUAACUGAGGCCUUUUAAGGCUGGACUGAAUGGCGAACUUAUAUUCUUCAAAUGUAAUCUCAAGGUGGGCCAGGAAAAGUUCAAAAUUAUUAAAUGCGGCUGCUCCUACAUCGGAACUAGAAUUUAAAAGCUCCUUCAUUUUUUUUAACAAUUGUUUAUAAUGUUCAACAUUGGUUCCAUUUUCUUCCAAUGGAUAAAACCAGAGUUUCAGACAUUGGAGGGCACGGCAUAUUGAAGCGACAGAAUUCCUGGCCCCGCAGUUCUCUUAAACAGGAAGAACUGUGCUUUUGGCGCUGGUAUUGAACGAAUAAAUAUAAAGGACUUUAGGUACCUAAGCACAGCGACGAUCGUAGAAACGAAUCUGUGAUCUAGUUUUUUUUUGCAUAGGUCACAUUUUCCUUAAAAAUUACACCGCAAUAUAUAGUUGAGAAUGAUAGUUCUUCCACAUCUACAUCUAGGGUCAGAUAUGUUGGAUGGCGGCAAUGUUCAGGGGUCAUUGCAAUACUUUAAAGCUCAGUAUUGUUGUUUUCUAAUAUAUUUUCAUGACCGCCAGGAUUUAAGUCUUCUUCUUGUUGGAGGACUUGUUGGGAUUACAACUGUUGUCGUAAAAUCUCUUUAACUGCUUCUCGGUCAGAUUCAUCUGCGAUAAAAGGUAAUUCUGCCCUAUCUCAUUCUUGAUUAAGCCAGUCACCGUUGAAAGCUAUAUUGUGCUUUCUGUAUAUUGUGCUUCCGAAUAGUUUCCGUCAUAAAAUUAUGAGAGUAUUUAAGUUUCCUUUUAAGGUGAAUUUGGAUUACAUGAGUGGAGUCAAAGGAGCGGGGAAGCACACUUACAGUGUCUGGCACAGAAAUAGGAACAUUUACCACUGCUCCUCUAAUUCAACAUUGCCCUUCAUAUCCUAGGGAGAUAAUGCGCAUGAAAGGAAUUCGGGGAGAAAUAAGGUGCUCUUCAAGACGUGUUAAGUUCUUGAGGCAUUCUGAAAUUUCUGGAAAGUCUAAACCAUUGGCGAGACAAAGAAAUGGUAGUCUACCUUUGGAAAGGGCUUGACGACAUGUACUGCAAAAUAUAUAUUUGCCGGACGGACUCUGAAAUUUCCUACUCUAUGUACAUGUUGGGGAACUUAGAAGCUAUAAAAAUUUUUUUCAAACCACUUACCUGGGAUGAAAACUAUGUUCCUCCACAGCAUGAACAUCUUUCACUUGGUCCCUCCUUAAUGUUUUGUAGAUAUUGUUCCCUCGCAGUGUUUCGCCUCCUCCGGCGCUGUAGUUCCCGUUGAUCCUCCCUUUCAUCAGGAGAAAGUUCAGCUCGAGCAGCAAUAUUUCGCUGCGACUGUCUGAAAGAUUCUGCUAGACGAAUUUUGGGAACUGGUCCUAUAUGUAAUAAGUCUCUCCUCUGCCAUUUCCUGAAUUUGUUGCUCCCGAAGUCUCCGCUGUAGUCUAGUGUUGUAACGUGACAAAGUGUUGGGAUGUAUCUGAUGUGCCCGAGUUAUGGAGCUAUUCCUAACGAUCAGCAGUAUUUUGCGACUGCUUUCGUCGGUAUUAGGAAUUAGGAAGUUUACGUUGGAAAAGUGACUGCCCUUCUUUACCUAUUGGCCUAGGGACUCAGACAGUUAUUCAAUAAUUAAGUUUUAACGACAGAUUAUCGGAGUUGAUUUUACACGAGCAGUAGCUCUUUAUUCUUUGGAUAUCAAAUCUGAACUGAACUUAAAGCUAACAUAAAUGAAACUCAUAGCGGCCACUCCAAUGGUUAGUGCUUGCCGGCUAUGCACGGGCUUCCGGCCAGACGCUGUGUCAGCAAUUUGGCCGGAGCAAGCUGUCGGACGAUCGGUCAUUGUCGUCGCCUGAUUAACUUAGUUAACUAACUUAUAUACUUUAUAGGGUCGGCAAUGCCACCUUCACUGCGUUGCAAACUUCUGACUAAAAUUAUAGUACCCAUUGCAAGGGUAUACAACAUGUAAGGCAACCGCAAAUCUAUCUUGGGGAUUGAAAUGUUAUUAUCGGGGUGUUGCUUUGCUUUACUAAAUUAAUGAACAGGUAGACGCGAAUCAACUUCUUAUCUCGUUAACUAUUUUCAAACGGUACUUCUUCUUAUAAAUUUUAAGCUCCCGCUCUAAAUUGCUGCAUUUUUUCUUUGGUUUCAUUCCGAAAGUACACAGCAGAGAGAAAACAAGGAGUAAAGUGCUAAGAAUGUAAGUGUAAAACAAAUAAGUUUAAGACAUAUAACACAGUGUCAGCAAAACAAUUGACGAGAUUGGCAAAAAAAAACUUAUUGUAAGCUAAGUGGUUAAGGGCAAUUUUGUAUUUGCGAAGACAAAAGCUCAAGAGCACACGGCCGCGAAAGAUGCAGAGCUGUUUGGAGAAAAAAAACGGAUUUGAUUUUCAUAUCGGAAACUCAUUGGACACAUUUGUAAAUGAUUCCAGUGAUAGUGAAAGUGAAUAUCAAGAAAUUAGUUUGUGGGAGGAGUGAGCAACUCAAUGUGGAAUAAGCUUUGUAGCAAUUAAUUCACUGCUCUUACUAUUGCGGAAAUGUAAUAUUUAAAUUCCAAAAGAUGCAAGGACCAUAUUAAAGACUCCUGCAACAGUAACUCAGAGAAUAGUUGGGGAGGGUACAAAAAUACACUACGGAUUGACUGUUUUCUUAAUUAUUAAGAACUGAAUAUUUUCAAAUUUAGAUUUUAGAUUUGGGUAUUGAUGGCCACCUUUUACUUAAAAGUGUUAGUGUUGCAGACACCAAAUAUGUUUUCCUCAUUGGCGUAUAAAAAGGAAGGUCAAAGCCAAAUUGUGUCAUGAUUUCUUUCAAGAAUUUAUUUCAGAAUUUAAUAUUAUUUCACAGAAGGGCUUAAUUUUUUCUAAUAAUUUUUUUAAGAUAAUUAUAAAAUUUUUCGUCAUGGAUGCACCGGCAAAGUCGUAUAUUUUAGAAACUAAGGGGCAUAGUGGGUGGACGGUGUACACAAAAAAGUCAGAUGUAAAAACAUCGACUUAUGUUCGCACCAGAGUCCAACACUUUGGCUAGGACCAAUUAUUCGUUAAGAUAUAGAUCUUAGCCAGAACAUCACUUAAUGCAAUCUCUGUUAAAAGUGUUAAACAUUGUCACAGUGCUCCUUAGACUAUUUGGUAACUGGGUUUGGCAGAAUUUCGUUCGGUGCUUUGUACUGCCCUCCUGGUCACCGUCAUUCUUGGUCAGCUCAUGAAUAUCUGCACCGAUUUGCCUCUGUGGGUAAUCGCAUUCGCAGAAUGCCCAUCACAAUUUCUGGGGAUGCAGGCGUUUGUGCACUCGGGAAAACACUCUGAUGUCUAUUGUUUCUGCGUUGCUGUCAUACGGUCGUUACCAAAACCAGGCUUCUGCCUCGUGGUUCGGAUAUUUGAAGUUUCGGUGCCCUACUUUCUGUCCUGACUCAGGACCAUCCCUCUCUUGCUAACGUGGACGAAGUUGAUUUCUCUGCUGAGUUCUUAGUUGACCAGAUCCACCAAGCUGCUGAAAGUGUUCCUAUUCCUGCUCCAUCUUGGUAUACUUCGAAGCCAGAAAUUGCUGCCUUGGCCAGAAAAGGUCAUGCACUCCGCCGCGUCUGGAGAGGACGAGGCAUACCAUCGGCAAAGCAAGGUGGAAGGCUGCUGUGUCAGAACUCUCUUUUAGCCCUUCUGUUGAUAAGCGUCCAGUAGGCGAGGAUGAGGUUCGUGAUCAUAGUUUCCACAAUGGCUCUUGGCAUAGACGCGAUUGACGGAAAGGUAGCAGAGGCUCUGCCUAGCUCAGUCAUUUCGCAGCUCUGCCAACUCAUUAAUGCCUCCCUAGACCUUGAUCAUUUUCCAGCCCCUUGGAAGCGUGUUCUAGUCACAAUGGUACCAAAAAAGAGGAAAGGACGAUCUUGUUCUGAGAUCAUGCGGAUCAUGCUAGGCUCUUAGCAAUAGCUGCGUUUGAUGAAGCCCUUUCAGACCACCAGUUUGGCUUUCGAAGUCGUCAUUGUUCUGUUGAGCAAGUGCACUGAGUAGUAAAUCAUGUACUGGGUGCUUUGGAAGAUCGCAAAUACUGCUCAGCAGACUUUCUUGAUGUUCGAAAGGCCUGGAACAGGGUUUGGCACGAAGGUCUCCUUUACAAACUAAUUCCACUUUUCCCUGACGGAAUAUGGAAGCUAAUCGUGUCAUUCUUGGAUAAAAAGGAGUUUGCUGUCGAUAUCCAUGGGCAUCGUUCUGGACUACGCCCAAUUCGUGCUGGGGUCCCGCAAGGAAGCGUUCUGGGUCCGGUCCUGUAUACAGUUUAUACGUCGGAUUUUCAAAACCCAGUUGCACGCGGUACACUUCUGGCCACCUAUGCAGAUGACACUGUAUUUCUUGCAGUUUGUAGUACCCCAUCGCCUGCCUCCCGGCGUGUCCAGGCGCUUUUACAUAAUCUCGAGUUUGCGGCUUCUGAGUGGAACAUUGCACUGAACGUCGACAAAACGCAGCACGUCACAUUUACUCUCCGCCCUGGCCGUUCGCGUAGCCUUUACCGUCAUGGGAAUGGGCAUAAGUUUAAAGACAAGGUUACCUACCUAGGUGAGCAUUGGACCGACGCCUUUGUUGGAAAGGACAAAUCGACCGCGUGUCGAAAAUCGUGUGUGGUUUCAGGACACGGGAGUGCCGACGGUUAGCUGCUCAAAUCGAUACAGAGAUCGCUUGUGGACCACAUGAACCGCCUGGCUAGACGGCUUGCUACACUAUUGGGUCGACGACGUCUCCGCAGACGGCACCUAGCGAACCUGUGGAUUAUUGUUCGUGAUUAACACGGACGCCUCCUAUAACAACACUACACUACUGACAAGCUUUUACCUGCCCUGCACUUAAUACCCGAAUGUUUGGGAUCUUUGAAAACUCCUACGCAUAUACGAAAACAAAGACCAUCCUUGUGUGGCGUGUAUAAUAAUUAAUUAAUUAAUUAAUUAAAAACACCACAAGUUCACAGAAUGAAAAUAGAUCUUUCAAGGCGGAAAUUUUAAAGCUACAAAAGAUUAAGAAGGAAUUUAAAAAAUGUAUAGUCACAACAGUCGGUGAAGAACUAAAACAAUUUAUAAGGGCAGCCAUUCGAAGGAUAUUUACAGACGAAUUGCCUUCAUCUUAAAGCUGGAAGGGGACUAGCACUAAGCUAAGCGGCGAAAAGUGUUUCCUCGUCAAAAUUAUUAAAAGUACUCAAAAUUCAUUUGUAAUGAGAAGGACAUGAACUUCUGCAAAAGUUUUUUGUGGGCGCAAAACAACGUGGGUCAAAAUGAAGCGGUUUAAUAAUUUAUUUAAUGUUCUUAUAAUUUUCUAACGUACAGAACGUACUAUUUAUGUGAAAUAAUUUCUAAAACAUGUUUACAUGUUUUUAAAAAUAGUCUACUGUAUAUUAGUUGUAAAAUAUUAGAAUAAAUAUAUACGCACUUUAUAAAUAUUAUAUAUUGUAAUGAAAGUAACCAGAUCUACGGAAACCCUUUCAGUGAGCUUUAAAUACUCGGAUAACGAUACAACGUUGUAAAGUUCGCGAUAGUUACGAACAGUUGCCAGUCCGGCUGUCAUAUCACUUCUCUCUCUAAUUCUCAUUUAUCGGUGGGCAGUCGUCGACAUCCCGACCGCGUGCUGACCUUAGGGAAUAAAGGCACAAAGGAAAAUAAUCACUGGUGUUUGUGUUUUGACUUCAAUGUGAAGCGGGAGAUUGAUAGUAAGGGCUUUCACAACUAAUAAAAAAAGUAUCGGCUCUACUUUCCGUAGCGACAGCCGCACCGCGCGGCAGAAAUUCAUUAUAAUAUUAAAUACAAAAUAAUUACAAAAUUAUCAUUUAAGUUCACAUAUUAUAUGUCGUUAAAUAAGAAGUAAUUACAUAUCAAUUAAAUACUAUAUUAUUGAAGAA